UUCCAAGUAAUAACUAGUAGUCUAGUACAUACUACAAAAACCCUAGUUUUGAAAUGCUAAUGCAAAUACGUAGCGAUUUACAUUUAGAAGCUUUUAUCAUUGUUAAAUAAUUUAAAUGUAAAUCUACAUAUCAAAAUAAUUAUUUACUUAAUGAAAAGUAAAUAUUUUUCUUAAGAAGAAAGCAUCAAUGCUGAUUAGAUUAACAAGUCACUGAUCUUAAAAAUUUUGUUUUUAUAUUGAACGUGUUAAUUUAAGAAAUAUAUAUUAUGAUUGUAAACUUGUGAUGUUAUCAAAGGGAAGGUGCAAACAGGCUUCCCUCAGUCAAGGUUGUGUGUACAAAGUGAAAGGCUCCAACGAGACAGUAAGGACCCUGAUGGGACCCCGAUCUUCGGACCCGACUGAAAGACAUGCGUCCCGUCGGGAAGCGGUCGGCGGGUUAAAAACCUUGUCAUGUCAACUGACGGUAUGAAGCUUGUGUAUAGGGUCGCUUUGUUCGCCUUCGCCCUCGUCGUCUGCUACACGCUGAUGAUGACGGGCGGACUUAACGAUCUUGUGUCGACUGGUGUCUACAGAGAGAUUCGACUCGAGCAGAUGACAGACCGGCUCACCCCGUCCAGCAAGCAUGAGAAAUCCGUCGUUCUGACAGUCGUUGUCUGCGGUGACAGGGUCCAGGAGACUCUCGUCAUGCUCAAAUCGGCCAUCAUAUUCUCACAGGACUCUCUAAAGAAGAUCAUCGUUAUCACAGAGACUGGUCUGUUCUCAAGAUUUCACGAAAAGUUGUCAGAGUGGAAGGAGAUUGCCAACGCGUCGUUUACAUUUGAAACGAGAGUGAUAUCGUUUCCAAAAAACGAGAGCGAGAAGUGGCGAACGUUAUUCAAGCCUUGUGCCGCCCAGAGGCUUUUCCUUCCGAACCUCCUUACCGACACAGAUUCAAUCCUGUACGUCGACACUGAUGUCCUUUUCCUGAGCCCUCUUGAAAACGUAUGGGCGCAUUUCCAAUCGAUGAACUCCACCCAGUUCUCAGCCUUGGCACCUGAGCAUGAAGACCCGCAUACCGGAUGGUACAAUAGGUUCGCGAAACAUCCUUUCUACGGAAAACUCGGUGUAAAUUCGGGUGUGAUGCUGAUGAAUCUUACAAGGAUGCGUGCUUUCAACUGGAACCAGUAUUUAUUGCCAAUACUGAAACAAUACAAAUAUAUGAUCACAUGGGGAGACCAAGACAUCAUCAACAUUAUCUUCCAUUUUCACCCAGAAAGGUUGUACAUAUACGAUUGCACGUACAACUACAGGUCGGACCACUGCAUGUAUAUGAGCGUGUGCAAGUCAGCAGAGAGGGAAGGCGUCCGUGUACUCCAUGGAUCCCGCGGUACAUUCCACUCGAGCAAACAGCCGGCAUUUCAGGCCGUCUUCCGUGCGUUCCAAGAGUUUCAGUUAGGCAGUGACCCGUACCAGCACCUCCUUUUACCUAUGGAGGCUUACUUGAAACAGAGCACAAAGUCCAACUGUGACAAGACUUAAAACAUCAAUGUCAUUGUAAAGCAACAGUUUAUAGAAAAACAGCCAAAAUAAUAUGAGCUUAUGGCAAUAUAACGGGACCUCAUAAUAAAAUAACAGGAUAUUCCACCAGAAAGGAGCUUAUAUUUCCAUAAUAAGAGAUUUCAACAAAUAUUAAGCAGGAAUUAUAUUAUAGCCAAAUAAUACUCAUAAUAAAACACUUAGCAAUGGAUGAGAUCUUCGAGUGGAGUUCAUAUUAAAAUGGCAGAUGUUUUUCUGUUGAGAUGAGACGUUACAAGUUAGUGGUUUAUAGUAAGCAGUCCGCAAAAUUGAGUUCGUAGUUUGUAAUAAAAUAACAGGACUUUAUAGCAAGGUAAUGUGAUUUUAUUUAUAAUUAGAAGGAGCCUGCAUAGAUUGUUGGUAAAGGAAGAGGGCUUAUAGAAGAGCUCGGAAUAAAAUAAUGGACCAAUGCAACGUUGAUUUUUAAAAACUGUUCAUUUAUGCUACAAUUCACAAAUUACAAAUUUAAAAAUUAAAAACCAGUAAUCUUUAACUUCUUUAUCAUGGGCUAAAUUUCUUGCUAUGUACCAAA